GAAGGUGACAGGUCUAGGAGUCUCCCCUGAUCUUCUUUGGGGUCCUGGCUUAAGAGACCACGUAUCUCAGCUGAGUUCAGUACUCCUCACAGCCACAGCCAUCUUGAGAUCUCUACACUGAUGAUGUUGUCUGUGUUUGGACUCUCCGUCCCCAUCUCGGCCACAGAGCUUCUCCUGGCCUCCUUUGUCUUCUGCCUGGUGUUCUGGGUGGUCAGGGCCUGGCAGCCUCGGGUUCCCAAAGGCCUGAAGAGUCCACCAGGGCCCUGGGGCUGGCCUCUGCUCGGGCAUGUGCUGACCUUGGGGAAGAACCCACAUCUGGUGCUGGCAAGGCUGAGCCAGCAUUACGGGGACGUGCUGCAAAUCCGCAUCGGCUCCACACCCGUGCUGGUGCUCAGCGGCCUGGACACCAUCCGGCAGGCUCUGGUGCGUCAGGGUGAUGAUUUCAAGGGGCGGCCCAAUCUCUACAGCUUCACUCUGAUCUCUGAGGGCCAAAGCAUGUCCUUCAGCCCAGACUCUGGACCGGUGUGGGCCGCCCGCAGGCGCCUGGCCCAGAACGCCCUGAAGAGUUUCUCCAUUGCCUCAGACCCGGCUUCCUCAUCCUCCUGCUACCUGGAAGACCAUGUGAGCAAGGAGGCUGAGUACCUCAUUGGCAAGUUCCAGGAGCUGAUGGCAAAAGUUGGGCACUUUGACCCCUAUAGAUAUGUAGUGGUGUCAGUGGCCAAUGUCAUCUGCGCCAUGUGUUUUGGCCGGCGCUAUGACCAUGAUGACCAAGAGCUGCUUAGCAUAGUCAACCUGAGUAAUGAGUUCGGGGAUGGCACUGCCUCUGGGAACCCUGUGGACUUCUUCCCCAUCCUUCGAUACCUACCCAACCCUGCCCUGGAUUUCUUCAAGGAUGUGAAUGAGAAGUUCUCCAUCUUCAUUCAUAAGAUGGUCAAGGAACACUACAAAACUUUUGAGAAGGGUCACAUUCGGGAUAUCACAGACAGCCUGAUUGAGCACUGUCAGGACAAGAGGCUGGACGAGAAUGCGAAUAUCCAGCUGUCCGACGAGAAGAUUGUUAACGUUGUCUCGGACCUCUUCGGAGCUGGAUUUGACACAGUCACAACUGCCAUCUCCUGGUGCCUCAUGUACCUGGUGACGAGCCCCAAUGUACAGGAAAAGAUCCAGAAGGAGCUGGACACAGUGAUUGGGAGGGAGCGGCAGCCCCGGCUCUCUGACAGACUCCAGCUGCCCUACAUGGAAGCAUUCAUCCUGGAGAUGUUCCGACAUACCUCCUUCGUCCCUUUCACUAUCCCCCAUAGUACCACAAAAGACACAAGUCUGAGUGGCUUUUACAUCCCCAAGGAGCGUUGUGUCUUUGUGAACCAGUGGCAGAUCAACCAUGACCAGAAGCUAUGGGGUGACCCAUCUGAGUUCCGACCAGAACGAUUUCUCACUCCUGAUGGCACCAUCAACAAGGCACUGAGUGAGAAGGCAGGAACAGGGCUGCAUCCUGGCCUCGCAAGGACCCUGUUCCUGUCCAGGAGGGGCUGGGGGCUUGUGCCUAAGAGGAGCAGAGAACAGAGGGAGUGCCCAGAUUCAGGCACCUGAGUCAGGUCUCUAUGCCCAAUAUUAAAAUGCCUUUAAAAAAUGUUUAUAUGCAAGAAGUUUUAUAUUUUAGCCUGCAUUGUACUGGCAUGCCUUCAUUUAUCAUACGUAAGAGCUUAAGAACAAUUUAUUGAGUGCAAUAGAGAACAUUGUAACCCAAGUAUCCAGAAAUGUGUAAGAAAUUUCUACUUAAGCUAAAUAAAGAUAUUAUCCAGAAGUCCUAUGGUGGAAAU
rnacentral:lncRNA from 1 species